UACGUAGGGCGCAAGCGUUGUCCGGAAUUAUUGGGCGUAAAGAGCUCGUAGGCGGCUUGUCACGUCGGGUGUGAAAGCCCGGGGCCUAACCCCGGGUCUGCAUUCGAUACGGGCAGGCUAGAGUGUGGUAGGGGAGAUCGGAAUUCCUGGUGUAGCGGUGAAAUGCGCAGAUAUCAGGAGGAACACCGGUGGCGAAGGCGGAUCUCUGGGCCAUUACUGACGCUGAGGAGCGAAAGCGUGGGGAGCGAACAGG
rnacentral:rRNA from 1 species